GACAAUACUUAGAAAUGUUAGAUAAGGGGUUGGGGAUUUAGCUCAGUGGUAGAGCGCUUGCCUAGGAAGCGCAAGGCCCUGGGUUCGGUUCCCAGCUCCGAAAAAAAGAACCAAAAAAAAAAAAAGAAAUGUUAGAUAAUUUGCUCAAGUUUCUGUAGUUAGCCAAUAUUGGCUACAGUCAUCUGUCUCUUAACAUCGGUUUCUUCGUUAAUGUUUUCCCCCAGAAAUGCAGUCCAGUUAUUGAUGGAUGUUGAUUUAUCCUAUGAGUGACCAAAAUUUCUUAAUUCUAAAUAUUUGAAGUACUUAAAACACGUUUCUUAAAUUCUUGAAGUUUAGUACUUUUGACUUGGUAGCUCCUGCUAUUUGAUCAGUCACUACUAGUGUAUAUUUUUUAAAACUGAGCCUGUGUCUUCAUUCCCUUCUAUUUGUCUUCUAAUCCUAAUUUGCAGAUGUAUCCUGAAGCCUUCUUGCCUAUCUGGGUACCAGAUGUGACCUCAAGAGAUGGCUGCUGUAUACUUUUUGCAACUGGUUUGAUAUCACAUUUCAGCUCCAACUUUGCAUCCUGAGAACACUUAAAUGUUUCUGCAGGUCCAUUUUAUACAACUUGAAAGACCUUAAAACUUUCUGGUUGCCACAAGCAUAUCUUUCUUUUCUGCUCAUCCACUAAACAGCUGUGCCCUACUGUGAUAGGUUUUCCAGACAAAAGUACCUGGAACAGCAGUUUAGCAAAGAAUGCCUUCGGUGGCACUCAACAUGUGGAGUCUCCCCAAGCACAGCUCUGUGAGAAGUGUGAGUGUGUGCGUGUGUGUGUGUGUCUGUGUUUUAAGUUAUUAUUUGUAUUGUGCAAAACUUUUUGAUCUUGGGGAUUCUGGCUGUGAAUUUGAUGCACGACAAUUAUGGUUAAAAACAUUUUCUUGGUCUACAGAAGAUCAUUAAUGUUUGGUGACCAUAUAAGUUGUAACAGUGGGUUGUUUAUGUGUAGGUAUUAUCGUUAAAUACAGGGACUGUUUCCAGGCACAGAAUUUGAAUCGUAAGUUAGGAUGGACAUUAGACGUGAUUAUGAUGAUAUAGGGAAGGUCUGCAGUCCUGAAUCUGCAAAUCCAUGGUGAGAAAUUAGAACAAACUGGAGACAGGCCAUCAGUAUAUGGACUCUGCCUAGCUGUGCUGGAAAAAUACUUUGACUCCAAGCCUUAAAAUACCCUGUGGAGUCUGAGCUCACCUCAUUCAUACAGUCAUGGAGCUCCCUGGACGCCGAACUUCUACAGGGAGAAGAUCUCCCCUGGAGCAGAAGAUCAGGGUGUGCUCGGAGCGGAGUGUGUAACAGGAGUGCGGGGCUGGGCCAGGCUCGCAGCACUGCUACGUGGGAGGAGCCACUCACCUUUGCAUCAGUUUCAACAUAGAAUCUGGAGCCUUUGUCCAGGUUCCCCCAAAUUCUCCUCUAAGGUGUCCGUGAUCAACUGUUAGAGCUUGGUUUUGGCAAUACCCUGCCUGAAGUUGCUUAAUGGCUGCUCUUUGCCUUGAUCCCAAGGCUGUGAGCAGAAAGCAGCCUCUGUUUUGAGGAGGUGGGAGUUAAGUAUACAUUUAUUUUUACUGUGACUUGUUCAGGACCACAUUUUACAAAAUGCCUUGUUUCCUUUACUAUUGUUUUGGAAAGGAAAGUUUUAUGAAAACUGUUUUAGUUUGAAUAUAGAAUAGUUUUAUUAAUUACGGCUUUAUUUUGGAAAAAUCUUGAGUUUUAAUUCAAAUGUUUGCCAAUACCUUCCAAAGUAAGGUGAUAUUCAGAGACAGUUGUUGUGAUCAGCUGGCUUGCGGACAUUUCUGGGGUAUUCACAUUUGAAGAUUCCUUAUUAAUGAAUGUCUUUGACUUAAAUCUAACCAAAAACUGCAACAUUAUUCUUUGUACAUUUUCAUUAUAUAGUGUUAACAAGCUUAGUUGCAAACAAAUAAAAUACUUAAGCUAUUUGUUUACCUUUCUUCUUGAUACUGUGGUGGCGUUUAGUUCAGGUAACUCUGUAAGGCUGCUAUAAUCCUUUCCACGGUUCAACACCCUGUUGGAGAUUCACAGACUCCGAGAGCCCACCAGUGUGCUUUUAAUAAUUAAAGAAUGACUGACUCACCUAAAGG
rnacentral:lncRNA from 1 species